AAAUCAGUCGUAGGGCAAUUCUCUAUUGGCAGGUGAUAUGGUGAUGUUUCAUUUUGACUCAGCUAUAGAAUAUCACUUGCCAAAGGAGAGCUGCCCUAUGAAUGUUUA
rnacentral:pre_miRNA from 1 species